rnacentral:lncRNA from 1 species
CAACUUCACUUCUUCUUCUCCCUUACGCCUACAACCCAACAGCCGCAAUAACAGCACCAAACUGACCCCACUGCCCAUACUCGUUUUCUUCUUCCAAACGCAAACCCAGAAAUCCAGCGAGAAAUCACGCCAUCGAUCACAUCGUCAUCUCUUUUCCCCCUUUCUAAGGGAUUUUCAAAUCCCUCGCACUGUUGUGGCAGAGGAGUCC